rnacentral:rRNA from 1 species
AGCGAACGCUGGCGGCAGGCCUAACACAUGCAAGUCGAACGAACUCUUCGGAGUUAGUGGCGGACGGGUGAGUAACACGUGGGAACGUGCCUUUAGGUUCGGAAUAACUCAGGGAAACUUGUGCUAAUACCGAAUGUGCCCUUCGGGGGAAAGAGUUAUCGCCUUUAGAGCGGCCCGCGUCUGAUUAGCUAGUUGGUGAGGUAAAGGCUCACCAAGGCGACGAUCAGUAGCUGGUCUGAGAGGAUGAUCAGCCACAUUGGGACGCAGAAACGGCCCAAACUCCGACGGGAGGCAGCAGUGGGGAAUCUUGCGCAAUGAGCGAAAGCCUGACGCAGCCAUGCCGCGUGAAUGAUGAAGGUCUUAGGAUUGUAAAAUUCUUUCACCGGGGACGAUAAUGACGGUACCCGGAGAAGAAGCCCCGGCUAACUUCGUGCCAGCCGCCGCGGUAA